rnacentral:rRNA from 1 species
UACAGAGGUCCCAAGCGUUGUUCGGAUUCAUUGGGCGUAAAGGGUGCGUAGGCGGCGCGGUAAGUCGGGUGUGAAAUCUCGGAGCUUAACUCCGAAACUGCAUUCGAUACUGCCGUGCUUGAGGACUGGAGAGGAGACUGGAAUUUACGGUGUAGCGGUGAAAUGCGUAGAUAUCGUAAGGAAGACCAGUGGCGAAGGCGGGGUCUC